GGUGUAUAACAUUAAAAUUCUCAUUAUUUGGGGAUAUUAAAUAUUGUCAUAUGUUAGUAAAAUGCAAUACUGUUUUCACGUUAAGAAUUUUUCAUUUUCUUUAUUUUUCUUUAUGGCUGUUCUGCUGGUGGAAUUUUCUGUCCAUAUCCAAAAUACCUUCAUUGCAAUUGCAAGCGUCUGUCCUUUAUUCGGGUCAAUCCCCUACAGAACUAACCCAUAUGGAUUAUAACCAAUUUGUUCUUGUCUAAAAAAGCAUUAGACCGUUGGUUUUCCCGUUUGAAUGGUUUUACACUAGUAAUUUUGGGGCCCUUUAUAGCUUGUUGUUCGGUGUGAGCCAAGGCUCCGUGUUGAAGGCCGUACAUUGACCUAUAAUGGUUUACUUUUUUUUAAAUUGUUAUUUGGAUGGAGAUUUGUCUCAUUGGCACUCACACCACAUCUUCCUAUAUCUAUGACAUAUUUGCGACUGAAAGCAAACAACAAACAAUCAGUCAAAAAUUUUUUUUUUCUCUG
rnacentral:lncRNA from 1 species